GGCUAGCCGUAAACUUUUACUUACACCCAAUCGCCAGGGAACUACGAGCUAAGCUUAAAACCCAAAGGACUUGACGGUACCCCAUAUCCACCUAGAGGAGCCUGUCCUAUAAUCGAUACUCCACGUUCAACCUCACCAUUUUUAGUUAGUCAGCCUGUAUACCUCCGUCGUCAGCUUACCACGUGAGCGCCAAUUAGUGAGCUUAAUGUUUUUCACCAAUACGUCAGGUCAAGGUGCAGCAAAUGAAAUGGGAAGAGAUGGGCUACACUCUCUAUUUUAGAAAAAACGAAAAACUACCUAUGAAACCUAGUUAGAAGGCGGAUUUAGCAGUAAAAAGGAAUCAGCAUGUCCAUUUUAAUCCGGCACUGGGGUGUGUACACACCGCCCGUCA
rnacentral:rRNA from 1 species